GACAAGUCCACGAGAGAGAGAGAGAGCGCAUUGGGGAGAGGAGCAUUGCAGUCAUAUCCAACUAACUCAAGUCUCAUUUUCAUGCACAGGGACCAGACCUGGCAACAUUUCCGAUCCGGAGGUCAUAAACCAGCCAAACAAGACAACACGGCACCACCAACCACCAGCAGCCCCAGUACACACAGCGCUGCAGCAAACCUGGUGUUGUACAAGUGGAAGAGAUGAGCUGUGGAGAACCAUAGUGCACCACCUCAGCUCCGCAUGCCCCUGCUCUCCUGUUUAUUUCUCUUGGCUCUCUAUCAGAAACUGACUCAUCAGAUAAGCGACCCUGAAAUCCCCAUUCCCAGACUUCAUGAGAAAUGUUCUUCUGCAACUCAUCAGAAGCCAAAAGUGUUUAUAUCCAGGCAAAAGUACAGCAGGAACAUUCUCCAUGACUUUAUUGCACUCCCUUCCUUUGGGGACAGAAAAAAAGGAUAUUU